CAGUCGCCGCGGUAAUACGGAGGGUGCAAGCGUUAAUCGGAAUUACUGGGCGUAAAGCGCACGCAGGCGGUCUGACAAGUCAGAUGUGAAAUCCCCGGGCUCAACCUGGGAAUGGCAGUGGAUACUGGCAAGCUAGAGUGUGUCAGAGGAUGGUGGAAUUCCCGGUGUAGCGGUGAAAUGCGUAGAGAUCGGGAGGAACAUCAGUGGCGAAGGCGGCCAUCUGGGACAACACUGACGCUGAGGCACGAAAGCGUGGGGAGCAAACAGGAUUAGAUACCCCGGUAGUCCCUGUCUCUUAUAA
rnacentral:rRNA from 1 species